rnacentral:lncRNA from 1 species
CCCAAGAAGAUUACAUUAUUCGCUCUAAUAAAAACGUUAGCUACUCAUAAUGAAAGAGGAAAAACAAUAAACCGUCAUAGAAUACAUCACCGAAUUUUUAUUAUAGAUGUAGAAUAAAAAUUCAAUCAUGCACCAAAACUUUCUCCAUCUUCCAAUCAAUGCUUCAAACGGUGAAUUGCUUAUUGUUUUCCUCCCUUGAAUUGCUUCUUUGAAUCUCAAAGUGUGUUUCUUUCCUCCUAAUAUAUGCA